UAUUAAAUAGUCGUCGCAGAUUAUAAUAUGAGUAGCGUUUUGGAAUAAAGCCUGUUUGGUCGGGGUGUAUUAAUUUAUGAAUCACUAAACUUAAUCUAUGGGCUAAAAUUUUGGUUAAUAUUUUCUGGUCGGUGUUUAAAAGUGCAAUUGCUCUAUAUGACCCUGGGUCUUCAGGGUCCUUAUCCAUUUUGGUAUGAGUAUUAUUGUUGAUUCAUUUAAAGUUUCUGGUAGUUUCUGUUGCAUGAAGGCAUGAGUGUAUAGUGUCUGUAGACGUGGGGAGAUCAGAUCAUGGAAUUUUUAAUAAAAUUCACUAUUUAAACCA